rnacentral:lncRNA from 12 species
AAUCAAUACAGAUGCAUUAACAGUAACAAAAACUAACUCUUUAAGCUUGUUAUAUGCCAGGCACUGGUGGGGUUUUUUUGUUUUGUUUUGUUUUUUUGCAUUUUAUGUAUUUUAAGUCAUUUCAUCUUCUGAACAUCCCCACAAGGCAGAUACUAUUAUUCCCACUCCACAAAUAAGGAAACAAACAGAGGGUGGGUGACUUGCAUGAGUUCUCACAGCUGUUAAGUAACAGAGACAGGGUUUGAUCUCAAGGGGUUUUCAUUUAAUGCCUUGGCAUCACAUAGGACCUUUGCAUAACCCCUGGGGAGUGGGAAGCUUUUAGCAUGGCGGAGGUUGAUAUUUCUACCAGCUCACCAGGAUGAAGGCUUAGAGGCAGCGUAAUGAUGGUCAAUUGGACCAGAGGAACACCACAACUGCCAGGGGAGGUCCUGGCAGCAGAAUGCUUUAUAGAAGAGAAGAACAGCUGCAACUGGCCCAUCUCAGGAUUAAAAAAAAACACACACACACAAAAAACAGCAAAUGUGAAAAGACACAGGAGAAAGUGAAAUGUUAUUCACGCCUCUCCUGCCGGAACUCACAAGUGGACGCAACUUCUUCCCAGUACACUGUGAAAGCAUUCAAACGCCAUGCUGAUUGUUCCCCCUGUGGUCAAAACAGAAACUUGUUUGUUUUCUCUCAAAUUUAUUUGGAAAGGAUGUUGUUACAGCAAUGCUGUUUGAAUUAUUAUAGCUAACCUUUUCCAGUGUACAUGUCCAGAGGCAUAAUUGGAUUCCCAAAAUGAACUCCAUUGACAACAGCUACAGAAGGAUGCUUCAGCUUGUUUAUUCUUAAAAUUAAUGUUGCUUUCAUUCCUUCUCUCCCCAUGCUUCUCUCUCUCUCUCUCUCUCUUUCUCUCUCUCUCUGGCUUGCUCACCUGCUCCCUCAAAAAUCCACUAAGUAAGUAGGGCUUAGUGAAUAGCAGAUCUCUUAAUUAUUUACAAAAAAUAAUAGCUUCAGCAGUCGAGAUG